GAUGUAGAACGUAGCGAAAUGCGAUACUUGGUGUGAAUUGCAGAAUCCCGUGAACCAUCGAGUCUUUGAACGCAAGUUGCGCCCGAAGCCAUUAGGCCGAGGGCACGCCUGCCUGGGCGUCACACGUCGUUGCCCCCCCAUCUACUCCUUCGGGAUUGCGGGGGGCGGAUGAUGGCCUCCCGUGCGCCUCGUCGCGCGGUUGGCAUAAAUGCCAAGUCCUCGGCGACGCACGCCACGACAAUCGGUGGUUGCGAAACCUCGGUUGCCCGUCGUGUGCGGUCGUCGCGCAUCGAGGGCUCGAAAAAAUUGCCGGGCUCCGGCUCGGCUUUCAACGCGACCCCAGGUCAGGCGGGGUUACCCGCUGAAUUUAAGCAUAUCAAUAAGCGGAGGA
rnacentral:misc_RNA from 1 species